rnacentral:piRNA from 1 species
UAUCGACGAGUGCCGAGAGCUGAACCAGCGC